rnacentral:rRNA from 1 species
UGGGGAAUUUUGCACAAUGGGGGGAACCUUGAUGCAGCGACGCCGCGUGAGGGAUGGAGGCCUUCGGGUUGUGAACCUCUUUCGCUCGUGUGCAAGCCGCUAUUUGGGUAGUGGUGAGUGUAGCGGGUAAAGAAGCGCCGGCUAACUACGUGCCAGCAGCCGCGGUAAUACGUAGGGCGCGAGCGUUGUCCGGAUUUAUUGGGCGUAAAGGGCUUGUAGGCGGUUUGUCGCGCCUGUCGUGUAAUCCUCUGGCUUGACUGGGGGUGUGCGGUGGGUACGGGCAGGCUUGAGUGCGGUAGGGGAGAUUGGAAUUCCUGGUGUAGCGGUGGAAUGCGCGGAUAUCAGGAGGAACACCGGUGGCGAAGGCGGGUCUCUGGGCCGUUACUGACGCUGAGGAGCGAAAGCGUGGGGAGCGAACAGG